rnacentral:rRNA from 1 species
UUCCGGUUGAUCCUGCCGGACCUGACUGCUAUCGGAGUAAGACUAAGCCAUGCAAGUCGACGCCCCUAGCCGCCGGUGGGGCGUGGCGCACCGCUCAGUAACACGUAGUCAACCUACCCCGUGGACGGGGACAAAGUCGGGAAACUGACUGUAAUCCCCGAUAGGAGAAGGGAUCUGGAACGCCCCUUCUCCCAAAGGCUUACGGAACCGUGCAUCCGUGGGCGCCGCGGGAUGGGACUGCGACCGAUCAGGUAGAUGGUGGGGUAACGGCCCACCAUGCCGAUAACCGGUACGGGCCCUGAGAGGGGGAGCCCGGAGAUGGACCCUGAGACAAUGGUCCAGGCCCUACGGGGCGCAGCAGGCGCGAAACCUCCGCUAUGUGCGAAAGCAUGACGGGGUUACUCCGAGUGCCGGGUGCUGAAUUCGGCUUUUCCCCGGUCCAAAAGGCCGGGGGAAUAAGGGGAGGGCAAGAUUGGUGUCAGCCGCCGCGGUAAAACCAACUCCCCGAGUGGUCGGGAUGAUUAUUGGGCUUAAAGCGUCCGUAGCCGGUUCGGUAAGUUCUCCGUUAAAUCUGACGUCCGAAGCGUCAGGCCGCGGGGAAUACUGCCGGACUUGGGAGUGGGAGAGGCCGACGGUACUCCCUGGGGAGGGGUAAAAUCCUUAGAGCCAGGGAAGACCAUCAGUGGCGAAGGCGGUCGGCUAGAACACGUCCGACGGUGAGGGACGAAAGCUGAGGGAGCGAUCCGGAUUAGAUACCCGGGUAGUCCCAGCCGUAAACGAUGCAGGCUAGGUGUGCGGUCGGCUACGAGCCGGCCGUGUGCCGUAGGGAAACCGUUAAGCCUGCCGCCUGGGAAGUACGGUCGCAAGGCUGAAACUUAAAGGAAUUGGCGGGGGGAGCACCCACAAGGGUGAAUCCUGCGUUUAAUUGGACUCAACGCCGGUAUCGUCG